UUCAAAGGGUGUUGAAAAAGUGAUUUCAAUUAAAUGUUUUUCAUUGCAAUUUCGAAAGAAGUUAAUUUCUUGUGAUGUGCAGAAUUCUAUUGGUGUGCUAACUGUACUACGUCUGCUUCAAUUUGAUUGGAAGAUUUUCUAAUACCUUCACUGGACAACAAAACCAAUGGACAACUAUUGUCCUGGGUUGAUAAAGAUGGAAGAAUAUGACGACUAUUUUGGAAAAAUAUCAAUCCCACAAUGCCAGAAAAUUUAUUACUCGAAAAAUUUUUUAUCCCUUCGUUGGAAGACGAAACUUUGAAACACCUAUUGACAUGGGUCAAUAGAGACGAAGGGAUCUUUAAAAUUUUCUGGCAAAACAAAAAUUCCUUGAACUGGAAGGAAGAUUUCCAAGUCUUCAAAGAGUAGGAUUUAUUAAAAAGACGAAGGAUAACUGGAAACGAUCUAAAAUAUUAUACCAACAGCAAGCACAGUUUUACGACAGCUAUGUGAAAGCAUAGCUGCGUAAAUUUUUUUUAGUCUUCCGAAAAAAAUGCGUUUUUUCAACUGGCAAAUUAUAGGCUUUGUGAAAACUUGCCCUUCGUUCUGUUGAAUAAUUUGAUAUUUUCAUUAUUUUGCCCGGGCGUGAAUGUAUGGAAAUGACACAACCAGAAGAAGCAGCAUGGCUAGAAGCUGCUAUGCUUUUAUUAGAAUUUUCCCAGACUGCGAGAAUUUCCCCAACAUCAACAGAAGGAAAAAAUAUUUUAUGAAAUACAGAGGCACAUCUUUUAUGCUUAUACCAACAGUGGCACUUUUCUAGAUGUACUUGUCUAUUGUAUG